rfam:Spiroplasma helicoides strain TABS-2, complete genome.
UCUGGUGGUCAUAGCGCUAGGGUCACACCUGUUCCCAUGUCGAACACAGAAGUUAAGGCUAGCUGCGCCGACGAUAGUAUAAUGCGAAAAUAGGACACUGCCAGUU